UACGGCGGGGGCUAGCGUUGUUCGGAAUUACUGGGCGUAAAGCGCGCGUAGGCGGCUUUGUAAGUUAGAGGUGAAAGCCCGGAGCUCAACUCCGGAACUGCCUUUAAGACUGCAUCGCUAGAAUUGUGGAGAGGUGAGUGGAAUUCCGAGUGUAGAGGUGAAAUUCGUAGAUAUUCGGAAGAACACCAGUGGCGAAGGCGACUCACUGGACACAUAUUGACGCUGAGGUGCGAAAGCGUGGGGAGCAAACAGG
rnacentral:rRNA from 1 species